AGACAGCAGAGCGAGGUUUGGGGGGCCCAGUGAAGAAAGUUGAUGCCAACAGAGGCCAUAUGAAGUGUGGACUCCACGCAUCCCCUGCAUAUAUCCAAAAGGAGGCCUUCUCUGUUUCCUGUCUGCUUCACCACUGGGCUGUGAGCCUUAAAGGUCAAAGUUUUCUUCUAUCUGACAAUCUACCUUCCCAGCUUAGCAUGGGAUAUGGCCUAGAGUACUCUUCAUAGUGCAUGGUGAAUGAAGAGAAAGAGAACAGCCAAUCAGAGCUCACUUUGCUCUGGCUUGCUCUCUUGACUCUUUAGAACUGGAAAGGAUCAGGAUUUUAGAGUGAAGUGCCUACCAUGAGAGAGGCAUUCUAAUGGAUGCUUGGAUGUGAAAUGAACAAAGCAGUUACCUGGGGGACAGCUGGCUAUGGGGGACAUAAAGAUGUGUAGUCCAGUGUAAAUGCAAUCUUUGAGUUGGGGCUGGCGUAAAUGCAAUCACUGAGGGAUAAUUAAGGUAGGAGCCAAUGUAAAUGCAAUCAUUGAAGUUC
rnacentral:lncRNA from 1 species